AGGAUGUUGAUUAGUUUUGUGUUGUAAAGCGGGCUAGACGUGCAACAGUUGGAAGGGGAGCUAAGUCAUCUACUAGGGCAGUAGUUGCUGGAGGAGCUGCCGCAUCUUCCGUAGCAGAUGCUGAGGCCAGCGGUGAAGGAGUUGAGGUGGCUGCAUGGGAAUAUGUGGAGCGACCAUCACAAGCGGGCAUGAUAAGGGCAUCACCAGGGCGGUUUGCGAAGUUCAACAGCUC